rnacentral:ncRNA from 1 species
GUUUCAGGGCGGAGUGCAAUUCUCCACCGGUGGUAAAGUCCACGAGCCUUUUUGGGUUGAUUCGGUGAAAUUCCGAAACCGACGGUAUAGUCCGGAUGAAAGAAA